CAUUGAUGUACAUAAAUGCCUUGUACUUUACUUAUGAAAAGUGGUUAUUUUUCUUUAAAUUGAGAGUAAAAAUAUUCGCAACAAAAAUAAAAUAUUUAAUUGAAAAGUAUUCUUCGUCGGGUCUCCGAGUGAAUUCAAAAGUAUUCACUUUUAUCAAAAAAACUGUGAAAGUGUCACAUCAACAACGAAACAACAAAAUAUUUUUGCCGUAUGACAGAAAGAGUGGAUUUGAAUUAUUUUCAUCUUCUCUUGCGCACGGUGAAUUAAUUGAAAGUUAGUUGCAGCAAAAAGCACGGAAAAUUUCUUUUACUCCGCGGACCGCGGUUUUUUUUCGCAACUAAUCACAUUGAUCCUGCUAUUGAUCCUUUGUAUAACUCGAAAUACGCCAUCGAUAUGUUCCAGCUUUGCCAAACCUGGAACGUCAAACAAAUGUGCAAAGAUGGUGCUUCCACUGGAACUCUUGCUGAUUACUGACUUGCAAAGUGGAGCAACUCGAUUUCACCGGAUUAGGAGAUUCGAAGAUUUCUGGGAAAUCAAAUCCAACAGGCCAUGGUAGACAGAAUUGAAAUCAUGUCUAAAAUGACGCUAAACCGGAUACGAUAAGCGCACUAAAUCGCAGUGGAACGGAGAAACUCCGUUGCAUAAAAAUGCCUAGCCAACGUGAUUGUAUUGUCAUUGCUGGGUGCGGCUGGGCUAUCUCACCGGCAGAUAAAUGGCAACGAUAUACACAGUUUCUACAUGUCACGAAACGCAUCCUGACGAGUGAAGAUGAUCACUUUGAGCGAGUUUUAAGAGCUGCUAAAUUAAGAAAGAAGAAAUUAUAUUUAGAUUGAAAUUAUGAAAUAAAAAGGAUAAAUUAGGUAAA